UACGUAGGGGGCGAGCGUUGUCCGGAUUUAUUGGGCGUAAAGGGCGUGUAGGCGGCUUUGUAAGUCAGAGGUGAAAACCGCGGGCUCAACCCGGGGAGUGCCUCUGAAACUGCGGAGCUUGAGUGCUCUAGAGGGCAGUGGAAUUCCCGGUGUAGCAGUGAAAUGCGUAGAGAUCGGGAGGAACACCAGUGGCGAAGGCGACUGCCUGGGGAGUAACUGACGCUGAGGCGCGAAAGCUGGGGGAGCAAACGGG
rnacentral:rRNA from 1 species